AGCUCCAAUAGCGUAUAUUAAAGUUGUUGCAGUUAAAAGCUCGUAGUUGAACUUGUGGCCUGGAUAGCUCGGUCUGACGCUUAUGCGUGAGUACCUGAGCCAUCCGACCAUCCUUGGGUGGAACCUGUGUGGCAUUAAGUUGUCGUGCAGGGGAUGCCCAUCGUUUACUGUGAAAAAUUAGAGUGUUCAAAGCAGGCUUAUGCCGUUGAAUAUAUUAGCAUGGAAUAAUGAUAUAGGACUUUGGUACUAUUUUGUUGGUUUGUGCACUAAAGUAAUGAUUAAUAGGGACAGUUGGGGAUAUUAGUAUUCUUAAGUCAGAGGUGAAAUUCUUGGAUUUUUUGUAAGACUAACUACUGCGAAAGCAUUUAUCAAGGAUGUUUUCAUUAAUCAAGAAGAAAGUUGAGC
rnacentral:rRNA from 1 species